GAUGAAGAACGGCAGCGAAAUGCGAUAAGUAAUGUGAAUUGCAGAAUUCAGUGAAUCAUCGAAUCUUUGAACGCACAUUGCGCCCCUUGGUAUUCCGAGGGGCAUGCCUGUUCGAGCGUCAUUAUAACCCCUCAAGCUCAGCUUGGUGUUGGGGCCUGCUGCACUGGCAGCCCUUAAAAUCAGUGGCGGCGCCAUCUGGCUCUAAGCGUAGUAAUUCUUCUCGCUAUGGAGUCCUGGUGGAUGCUUGCCAUCAACCCCCAAUUUUUCUAUGGUUGACCUCGGAUCAGGUAGGGAUACCCGCUGAACUUAAGCAUAUCAAUAAGCGGAGGA
rnacentral:misc_RNA from 1 species